UCUUUGUUUCGUCUCCCCACCACAAUCACCACCAGCAGAAACAAUAGAUCUACGAACACCAACAACUUUAUUCUCCCCCGACACACUACUGCACCUCCGUAUCUCACCACUAUCACCACCCUCCUCCGCCUCCUUCAAUUCCUUCACCGCCAACACCAUUUCCACCACCGUAAACAUCACCACCCCCAACUCCUCUCCACGUCACUGCAACCAUAAUCAAAACCCUAACCAUAGUUUCAUUUUAAAAAUCAGAAGGAAACACAGGUGGAUCUGGUGAUGUUUUGAUGAUUCUGUAAGAUCGGAUGAAGAAAUUGUUGAAAUUAGGGUUGUGACUGUAAUUGCAAUUGAAGAACAAGAAGAACAGAGAUGGCUUGGUGACGAGUUGAUGAUUGAGAUCAAUUUUGUAAGGAAAGGAUGAUGAAGUGGCGAUGUUCCUAACAAGGGUCUGAGGAAUUGGAUCCAACAAUUUUCUUCAAUUUCAUGCCUAAAUUUACUUGCUUUUGCCUUCUUCCAUUUUCACCAUCACCCUCCUUCUUCACCACCACUAAAACACAAGCAACACUGUUAUAGACAACUGAAAAUUGAUUUUAAAGGAACAAGAUGAAUCUUCAUAGACACUGGCUUGGCUGAUUAUCGGGGUGAUGAGUUAAGAAGAUGUAUACCAAGUACGAGAUUGAGGUAAAUGGGUCGUGGAGUCAAUUAUGGAGGAGAUCAGAUGUCUUUAGGAUCUCUCUUUGCUAGUCCUGAGGAAUCAAAACUAUAUGUACCUGUUGCACUUGUUGCUGCUUCAACCGCCAAUGUUGCUGCUGCUCAUACCCCCUAGUUCAGGUGAAAAAAAAUAUACCUACAGCUAACAAGUCUUCCUCCUCUCCCCUAGUGUAUAAAGAUAAGCUGGGUCCAUCAGGAGUAGUGCAAGGUUCUCUAUCCAAUAACUAUUAUCGCGCUAAUGGCCAAAAACAAUGGCAAAUUCAUCCCUGUGAGUUUUUAAUUAAGAUCUGCACAGUUCCAUCCAUCUUAUCUCAUUCUUAGACUAUGACUGAUAUAUCUGCAAAACAACACAUCUGUAUAUUUGUAAUUUUGUGUUUAUUUUGAAUGGAUUGUUUAGAUUUUUUGUGGUUACAA